rnacentral:rRNA from 1 species
AUUGAACGCUGGCGGCAGGCCUAACACAUGCAAGUCGAACGAGUGGCGGACGGGUGAGUAAUGUCUGGGAAACUGCCUGAUGGCGGGGGAUAACUACUGGAAACGGUAGCUAAUACCGCAUACCAUUAGCUGUGCCCAGAUUGGAUUAGCUAGUUGGUGGGGUAACGGCUCACCAAGGCGACGAUCCAUAGCUGGUUUGAGAGGAUGACCAGCCACACUGGGACUGAGACACGGUCCAGACUCCUACGGGAGGCAGCAGUGGGGAAUAUUGGACAAUGGGGGAAAGCCUGAUGUAGCCAUGCCGCGUGUAUGAAGAAGGCCUUCGGGUUGUAAAGUACUUUCAGCGGGGAGGCGUUACCCGCAGAAGAAGCACCGGCUAACUCCGUGCCAGCAGCCGCGGUAAUAC